rnacentral:rRNA from 1 species
CGGAGGAUCCAAGCGUUAUCCGGAAUCAUUGGGUUUAAAGGGUCCGUAGGCGGUUUAGUAAGUCAGUGGUGAAAGCCCAUCGCUCAACGAUGGAACGGCCAUUGAUACUGCUAAACUUGAAUUAUUAGGAAGUAACUAGAAUAUGUAGUGUAGCGGUGAAAUGCUUAGAGAUUACAUGGAAUACCAAUUGCGAAGGCAGGUUACUACUAAUGGAUUGACGCUGAUGGACGAAAGCGUGGGUAGCGAACAGGAUUAGAUACCCUGGUAGUCCACGCCGUAAACGAUGGAUACUAGCUGUUGGGGGCAACUUCAGUGGCUAAGCGAAAGUGAUAAGUAUCCCACCUGGGGAGUACGUUCGCAAGAAUG